GUGCCAGCAGCCGCGGUAAUACGUAGGUGGCAAGCGUUAUCCGGAAUUAGUGGGCGUAAAGCGCGCGUAGGCGGUUUUUUAAGUCUGAUGUGAAAGCCCACGGCUCAACCGUGGAGGGUCAUUGGAAACUGGAAAACUUGAGCGCAGAAGAGGAAAGUGGAAUUCCAUGUGUAGCGGUGAAAUGCGCAGAGAUAUGGAGGAACACCAGUGGCGAAGGCGACUUUCUGGUCUGUAACUGACGCUGAUGUGCGAAAGCGUG
rnacentral:rRNA from 1 species